GAACGCUGGCGGCAUGCCUUACACAUGCAAGUCGAACGGCAGCGGACCUUCGGGUGCCGGCGAGUGGCGAACGGGUGAGUAAUAUAUCGGAACGUACCUUCAGUGGGGGAUAACGUAGCGAAAGUUACGCUAAUACCGCAUAUUCUGUGAGCAGGAAAGCAGGGGAUCGCAAGACCUUGCGCUGAUUGAGCGGCCGAUAUCAGAUUAGCUAGUUGGUGAGGUAAAGGCUCACCAAGGCGACGAUCUGUAGCGGGUCUGAGAGGAUGAUCCGCCACACUGGAACUGAGACACGGUCCAGACUCCUACGGGAGGCAGCAGUGGGGAAUUUUGGACAAUGGGCGCAAGCCUGAUCCAGCCAUGCCGCGUGAGUGAAGAAGGCCUUCGGGUUGUAAAGCUCUUUCGGCCGGGAAGAAAUCGCACAGGUUAAUACCCUGUGUGGAUGACGGUACCGGAAUAAGAAGCACCGGCUAACUACGUG
rnacentral:rRNA from 1 species